CCUGACUAGAGAUAGAGCCAGAGCAGAAGAUGGGCAGAGUCUGCAUGUGGCUGCAGGACCUCUGUCAGAGAAUGAAACACUCAUCGCAUGAAUUGACAAAGAGUAAAGGAGAAUUUGCUGAAAUACUUAUUUAAAGUCUAGUACUAAGCUGUCGGGUACCAUAGUCACUAGCUACACAUUGCUACUGAGCACCUGAAACAUGGCUAUUCUGAAUUGAGAUGUGCUAGAAUGGCACCAUAUGCUACCAGAAAUUCUAUUACCACCCACAAAUGAGAGGACUACCAGCUUGUUACUUCAAAAUAAUGUCACAUUUGCUUUUUUGCCCAAGUGGAAAUAACACAGUAAGUCCCCAUUUGCUAAAUUAUCAGGAAUUCCAGUCUUUUCCCAUGGUUUCCCUCCCCUGUAUAAUCAUAAACAAAAAUCCCAGGCUUGUUUGCUAAUGCCUGAGAAUUGAUGCCUUUGUCUUUAUGGCUUGACAAUGGAGUGGAAACUCAGAUACACUCUUGAGGCUAGAGGGUCACCUCAAAGAUAGUCUAGAGAAGAGUUGGGUCUGUGACAGUGGCUGUGUUUUCUAUUGCUGUGUGACAAAUUAAUAUAAACUUAGUGGGCUGAAACAACAUCCAUUUAUUAGUUCAUACUCUCUGUUGGUCAGAAGUUCAGCACAGCAUGGCCAGGUUCUCUGCUCACGGUAUCAGGCUGAAAUCAAGGUGUUUGCAAGUCAGAGUUCUCAUCUGGAGGCCUGGGGGAGAAUCUGCUCCCAAGCUCUUUCUGUUGUUGGUAGAAUUCAGUUCCUUGAGGGUAUAGGACUGAGGUUCUGUUUCCUUACUAGCUGUCAGCCAAGGGCCACUUUCUGCUCCUAGAGCCUACUUGCAUUCUUUGCCAUGUGGGCCCACCCCCAUCUUCAAGUCAGCAACAAGCAUCACGUUCUUUUCAUUCUUUGAAUCUUUCUGACUUCUCUUUCUGCCAUCAGCCAGAGAAAACUCUUCACUUUCAAAGGCUCAUGUAAUUAGACCAGGCCCACUCAGAUAAUCUCCUUAUGUUAAGGUCAACUAUGACACACAACCUAACAUAAUCAUAGGAAUGCUAUCUCAUCCUAUUCAUAGGUUCUGGAGAUUAGGACCCAGAGUACUGGGGUAAAGGGGUGGUGCAUUUUUAGCAAUCUGUCCAUCACAGUCCUGGGGAUUAUGUAGGGCAUGUACACCAACACAGUGACAGUGGCAGGGAACAUAGCAUCAGAACACUCCCAGCUACCCAGCCCAGCUAGUGGUGGGGUCAAAAGCAAGAGCUGAAUCACUAUGAGGCAGUAACACUUGCUGGGGGAGGAGUGUAGAUGGGUGUGAAGAAUCCUGGUUUGCCAUCGUCCAACUUCACUUCCAAUUUUUACUCACCAUGAACUUUCUUUUUUAAAAAAAUUAUUAUUAUUUUAGUAGAGAAGUGUUUUCACCAUGUUGGCCAGGCCGGUCUCAAACUCCUGAUCUCAAGUGAUCUGUCUGCCUCGGCCUCCCAAAAUGCUGGGAUUAGAGGUAUGAGCCACCGUGCCCGGCCUCAUGAUGAACUUUCUUUAUGAAAGCAACAUGUAUAUCUCUGUGCUAGG
rnacentral:lncRNA from 10 species